AUGUUGCUGCCAGUCAUUCACAAGGUUGAUCGUCACCUCUCUGGAUGGUUAGCUACUUUCUUAUCCUUAGGAGGGCGGCUGACACUCAUUAAUUUGGUUCUUGCGGGUAUUUCGAGUUAUUUCAUGUCCUGUUUUGCCUGGCCUAUGGAGUCUCUUGGAAAGUUGGAAUGUCUGCUGCGUGCUUUCUUAUGGCAAGGCAAGAACAAGGUUAAAGGCGGCCAAUGUUUAGUAGCUUGGGACACGGUCUCUCUACCUCGCAUUAAUGGUGGUUUGGAUGUACGACAGUUGCAAGCCCACAAUCAAGCUAUGAUGUGCAAGUUUGUUUCCAAGAUCUUACAAAGCUCUGACAUACCAUGUUAUGAAUGGUUCGCCACACAUUACUGCCAGCCUGCUGUUCCUCAAGGUGCCCUCUACAGAGAUACGGCAAUCUGGAAAGGGUUAAAGGAUCUUAUUCCUUUGGUUAUCAACUCCUCUCGGUGUGUUGUGGGGCCUGGCACUCUGGUGUCCUUCUGGAAGGAUCAGUGGCUGGAAGUGGGUCGUCUUUGUCUGCUGUACCCCACGUUGUUUUCCUUCGCGUCUCAUCCAGCUUGCUCUGUCAACUCACAAUAUGCCAACGGAUCAUGGGUAAUACAACUACAUCCUAACCUUUCUCAAACAGCUUCGGCUGAGCUGAUGGCCUUGCAUGAGCGGUUAUCAGAUGUUGCUCCCAAUCUGCUGAAUAAUGACAAGCGCAUCCCUUUCUUGGGCUCUGGCAAGCUUAGUACAAGACAUUUCUAUAAUCUGCUCACUUUCCGGGGGGUUUUGGCGACUUUUGAGCCCUGGGUUUGGGAUUCUUUGAUUCCUCUAAAGCAUAGGAUCUUCCUCUGGCUUGCCUUCAAAGGUUGUCUCAACACCAGGGAUAAUAUGGUUAAGAAGGGCUGGUCUGUGGUGGCCCCGUUUGCUCAUUGUGAUGCCUGUCCUGCUGUGGAGUCCGUUGAUCACCUUUUUCUUCGGUGUGCCCCAGCAUCCUUUCUUUGGGGUAAGAUGGCGCUGGAUGCGUUGGCUUGCUCUGCUCCUGACAUUCUAGCUUUUGUAGAACAAGCACAACAACAGCUCAGCUUCAAACGCAAGUGGAAUAUUGCUUUCGCAGCAUGUGCUCUCACCCUAUGGCAUGCUAGGAAUGACCGGGUAUUCAACUCGAAGGUUUGGACUGCGAACUACACUCGUUUCUAUGCAGCAAACAUGUUAAAUCUCUGGAGUAAUAGAGCCCAUAAUCAGCUAGCAAAGGAUGAUAUACAGCUAUGGUGCCAGAAAAUAACCACUUAG
rnacentral:rRNA from 1 species